CUGCGGAGGGAUCAUUACAAGUGACCCCGGUUUACCACCGGGAUGUUCAUAACCCUUUGUUGUCCGACUCUGUUGCCUCCGGGGCGACCCUGCCUUCGGGCGGGGGCUCCGGGUGGACACUUCAAACUCUUGCGUAACUUUGCAGUCUGAGUAAACUUAAUUAAUAAAUUAAAACUUUUAACAACGGAUCUCUUGGUUCUGGCAUCGAUGAAGAACGCAGCGAAAUGCGAUAAGUAAUGUGAAUUGCAGAAUUCAGUGAAUCAUCGAAUCUUUGAACGCACAUUGCGCCCCCUGGUAUUCCGGGGGGCAUGCCUGUUCGAGCGUCAUUUCACCACUCAAGCCUCGCUUGGUAUUGGGCAACGCGGUCCGCCGCGUGCCUCAAAUCGACCGGCUGGGUCUUCUGUCCCCUAAGCGUUGUGGAAACUAUUCGCUAAAGGGUGUUCGGGAGGCUACGCCGUAAAACAACCCCAUUUCUAAGGUUGACCUCGGAUCAGGUAGGGAUACCCGCUGAACUUAAGCAUAUCAAACG
rnacentral:rRNA from 1 species